rnacentral:rRNA from 1 species
CUGCUGCCUCCCGUAGGAGUCUGGUCCGUGUCUCAGUACCAGUGUGGGGGACCUUCCUCUCAGAACCCCUAGACAUCGUCGCCUUGGUGGGCCGUUACCCCGCCAACAAGCUAAUGUCACGCAUGCCCAUCCGUCUCCGGAGUUGCCUCCUUUGGCCGAAAGAAGAUGCCUCCCCUCGGCCACAUGCGGUAUUAGGCCGGAUUUCUCCGGGUUAUCCCGCUGAAACGGGCAGGUUGCAUACGCGUUACUCACCCGUGCGCCGGUCGCCGG